AACAAACACCCGAUGUGCAGGGAGAGAAAAUAAUCAUAAAUCGUGCAAACAAUAAAAGCAAGCAAAAGCAAUGGUCGAUAGAGUGAUAAAGAAGACAUGUGAACUCGGUCUUUUCUCCUUGGAGCGACGGAGGAUGAGAGCACAGACACAGUAGAAGCAUUCCUGCGCAAGUCCAGUGAAAAGCUUUAAAAGCCCAGUCUCCAUAAAAGAGGGCUACCAUCUAGUGAAGCAGUCAUCAUGGGAGCAAUUGUUGUCAGAGUGGUGAGGCUUCGGCUCAACAGGGCUUUGGCAAGAACAGGCGGAGGCAAGGUAAGUAGAUAUACUUAUCACUUCCUGAGGGGCUGCUGUGUUCAUGCACG